AUAUAUAUAUAUAUAUAUAACAAAAGAACACAGCAGCCUGAUAUCAUUUUCAGUUGUAAGCUCGAUAAUGGCGGUUUUCAAUACCAAGUUCCCAUCUUUACUAGCUGGAACUACUUCUAAUUCUAAAAAAACCCAUAAUCAUAAAUUCCAUCAUUUACAAAUCUCUAACUGUUCUUUAUCCUACACCCCACCUUCCACCACUUAUUCCUCUAAUUCUUCUCCAUUCACUGAAAAGCACUCUGUAGAGAGAUAUCAAAGAGAUAAUUGGUUGUAUUCCAAAGACUCGUCAUUUGAUAAUACUACUUGUUGUUCAAUACCAAUUGAUCCAAAUUAUAUUAGAAAUGAAGAUAUCGCUCUUCAAUUACCUGAGUUGAAGAAAUUGCUUCAGGUUUUGAGAGAAAAGAGACAAGGAGAAGAUGGAAAUGGAAAUGGGUUUUCAAAUAAAGGGCCUGGGAACGUAUUCUUGGUUGGGACUGGACCUGGAGAUCCGGAGUUGUUGACUUUGAAAGCAUUGAGGGCAAUUGAGAGUGCUGAUCUUCUAUUGUAUGAUAGAUUAGUUUCUAAUGAUGUUUUGAAUUUAGUCAGACAAGAUGCAAGGCUUCUCUAUGUUGGCAAAACUGCUGGAUACCAUAGCAGAACUCAGGAAGAGAUUCAUGAGUUGCUCCUUAGUUUUGCUGAAGCUGGUGCAAAUGUUGUAAGGCUUAAAGGAGGGGAUCCGCUGGUAUUUGGGAGGGGUGGCGAGGAGAUGGAUUUUUUGCAACAACAAGGGAUUCAAGUGAAGGUGAUCCCAGGAAUAACUGCUGCUUCAGGAAUAGCAGCUGAGCUUGGAAUACCAUUGACUCAUCGUGGUGUUGCCAAUAGUGUUAGGUUUCUGACUGGGCACUCGAGGAAAGGAGGAACAGACCCAUUGUUUGUUGCAGAGAAUGCUGCGGACCAAGAUUGUACUUUAGUUGUUUACAUGGGAUUAUCGACCCUUCCUUCACUUGCUCAGAAGUUGAUGCGUCAAGGUUUGCCACCUGAUACACCCGCAGUUGCGGUUGAACGGGGGACAACUCCUCAACAGCGGAUGAAUUGGGCAAAUGCAAAGCACCCGGCCUUACAUUCCCCGGCACUAGUAUAAGCAUUUCUCCAUUAUUUUUCAACAAAAUGAGGGGGUUUGACGAAGAAUAAAAAGGGAUAAGAGUACAGCUUAGCUGAUUGAACUCUGUAUUUGCAGAAUUGCAUGAUCUUGUAGACAAAGUUACCUCUGCUGAGCUUUUAUCACCAACCCUAAUUGUCAUCGGCAAAGUCGUUGCGCUCUCACCGCUAUGGCCACUUUCUUCAAAAGCAGUAAUGAUGGCAGAGACAUGACUAAUUUUGAUUCAAGACUGAAGAUAUUUCAUGAACUUAUCCUCUGCUUAAGCAUGUUCUUCGGGUGACUGAGCCUUGAUUUUGAAAAUUUGCGAGGGUCUGCAGGCAUGCUUAGUUGAGGGGUAACCAUUGAUGUCGCCAUGGAGUGAGACUAUUUGAUUAGGGGCUAGCAGGAUCUGUAAAUGUGCAGUCACCGAAACUAAUUUAUCGCCAGAGAAAGGGAUAUACUGUGGAAGAAAUCUGUAGAGUUAUUUUGUUUUUUCCCGCUCAUUGUAAUUCUCGUUUGAUUCUUGUUGUCUUAAUUUCUAUAUCUGAUAAAGAAAAUGCAAGCACAUGGCCAAGAAAAGUCUGUUAUUGUCCUUGGCUAUUGUGAUUGUCCAAGAUACAUAGUGGUGGUCUCUUUCAGGGAAUAAAAGACGCAAUUGCCUUUCAUUCAAUUCAAGGAAAAUGAUCAGGUGU